rnacentral:rRNA from 1 species
UACGAGGGGGGCAAGCGUUGUUCGGAAUUAUUGGGCGUAAAGGGCGCGUAGGCGGUUUGACAAGUCUGAUGUGAAAUCUAUGGGCUCAACCCAUAGCCUGCAUUAGAAACUGUCGGGCUCGAGUCCGGAAGAGGCGAGUGGAAUUCCUGGUGUAGCGGUGAAAUGCGCAGAUAUCAGGAGGAACACCAAUGGCGAAGGCAGCUCGCUGGGACGUGACUGACGCUGAGACGCGAAAGCGUGGGGAGCAAACAGG